GGUGCCUGAUUAAAGGGUUAAUUUGAUAUAUUAAAUAAUGAAAUAUUUAGGUAAUUUACC
rnacentral:tRNA from 1 species